UAUGAGAGUAGCGUAAGGGUGCGUAACACGUAUGCAAUCUGCCCGCAACAGGAGGAUAGCUCCCCGAAAGGGGAAUUAAUACUCCAUAAUAUCACGAGAGGGCAUCUGAUUGUGAUUAAACUCCAAGGGGUUGCGGAUGAGCAUGCGUCUGAUUAGUUAGUUGGUGAGGUAACGGCUCACCAAGACGAUGAUCAGUAGGGGAACUGAGAGGUUGAUCCCCCACACUGGCACUGAGAUACGGGCCAGACUCCUACGGGAGGCAGCAGUAGGGAAUAUUGGUCAAUGGGUGAAAGCCUGAACCAGCCAUGCCGCGUGCAGGAAGACGGCCUUCUGGGUUGUAAACUGCUUUUGCCAGGGGAUAAAAUACCCAUGCGUGGGGAAUUGAAGGUACCUGGUGAAUAAGCCACGGC
rnacentral:rRNA from 1 species